rnacentral:pre_miRNA from 14 species
GUCUUGAGUCGGGGUGAAAGAACCCUGGAGCGGGGAGACCCUCACUCAAGUCUCGGGAUGAUGCGACCCCCCAAGAACUCACGAGAGACC